GUGUUUUACUUGCCUCUUUUUAUCAUUAAUAUCCAUGGUACUCUCAGAGGCUUCUUCUCCUGGGGAGGCGUGGGAACUGUGGAGGAAGCAUCCCAGUCAUCACCAGGCCUAGGGAAGCAUCCUACAUUCCCGCAGUGGAUGAUGUUCACAUUAAGGACUCCUCUGCCUCUGUCAAUACUCAGCCUAUUAGCAUUAAAUUCUCCUCUGCAAACCGAUGCAUCCUGUGAAGAUGGAGUGAGAUGAAAAUGUGGAAAAUGUUUGGGCAAAUGAGAUAGUAGGAGCUUCACUGACUUCACUUGAGGAUCCUAUCGAGGAUUCCACAUUCUGGCCACUUGCUUUCAGCUAAUGUAUUCAUCCCAGCAGGAAAAGAUGCUGAACUAGUGCCUUGUGCUUCUCAGAAAGAGG
rnacentral:lncRNA from 1 species